rnacentral:rRNA from 1 species
GACGAACGCUGGCGGCGUGCCUAACACAUGCAAGUCGAACGGAACACUUGUUUUCGGAUGAGUGUUUAGUGGCGGACGGGUGAGUAACGCGUGAGCAAUCUGCCCUUCGGAGGGGGACAACAGCUGGAAACGGCUGCUAAUACCGCAUAAUGUAUAUUGACGGCAUCGUCGAUAUACCAAAGAUUUAUCGCCGAAGGAUGAGCUCGCGUCUGAUUAGCUAGUUGGUAGGGUAACGGCCUACCAAGGCUGCGAUCAGUAGCCGGACUGAGAGGUUGAACGGCCACAUUGGGACUGAGAUACGGCCCAGACUCCUACGGGAGGCAGCAGUGGGGAAUAUUGGGCAAUGGGGGAAACCCUGACCCAGCAACGCCGCGUGAAGGAAGAAGGCUUUCGGGUUGUAAACUUCUUUGACCAGGGACGAAAAAAAUGACGGUACCUGGAAAACAAGCCACGGCUAACUACGUG